UUGUAAAUCUUCGCAGUACAUGGAACUAUGAAUUGGCUGUAUAAAUAUCUCUUCUUAGCUUUGAUAUUCACAGGCGCUCAAGCGCUUAGAUUUAACUCCAAAUCUAAACGUUGCAGGGACAACACUGGAGAAUGUAUGUCUCGAUGUCCAGCAAACAUGAAUAGUAUACGUUUCCGAGCGGAAUGUAUGGAGGAUGAAGGCACCCGGACCUUUCUCAAUUGUUGUGUCAAAGAAAUUUUCGGCAAGACCCGACGCAAACAGAAGCGCAAUAUCCAUUAGAUUUCGGACGUCGUUGCUUUCAUUUUGAGCUGGCUAUGUUCAGAUAGCAAACCAUUCGGCUUUAAAUAUUAUGAACAUUUUUGUAAUCUAAAUCCACAAAUGUAACACAAAGAUUAUCUACAAUAAAUACGACUGACGUUCUCUGAUAUAAAAAAAGUUUUUACCUUUCGCAAUGCUUCGACUGUAACGAAUAAAUUUGAUUCCAAGUGUUAUAGAAAAACUAUAAAAGUGUCCCUGAAUCGCCAGUCUUCAAGGUAAAUGGAACCAUGAUUUUGCUGUGUAAAUAUCUCUUCCUAGCUUUGAUAGUGAGCGCCUGUUUGCUCGCCUCCAACGCCUCCAAUCGUUGCAGGGACAACACAGGAUAUUGUAAGGAGAAAUGUCGAAAAGGGAUGAAGUUUAUUCGCAACAGAGGGGAAUGUAUGAAUCAACAAACCAGGGAGAUUCUCCUUUGUUGUAUCAAGGACUUUUAAACAGCUUAGACUGUAAGAACUAGGCCCGUGUUUGAUCGUUUGAAGACGGCACAAGUCGGGCUUAUUUCGACUGUUUAUUUUGUCAUAGCACGCCUACAAAUAUUAACAAAUAAAAAACAAUACAUGUGGUGGCAUUCCAGGCAGAUCAAGUGAAUUCAAAAAUUCCUUUUAACUGUCCGUAUGACAGUCCGUAUGACUCAUUAACUGGCAUGAGAAGAUACCGGCCGAUUGCUGAUUCUGUAACGAUGUUGCUGUAUUAUGAUAUAUUUUUAUCUAUGCUGCUGAGCGCAUUAUAUGUUUAUUUACCGCCUGGUAAGUAAAUAAUACCAAAAUAAAUAGUACGAAAGAAAUACAAUUUUUGUUCCCAGGUUGUGAACGCCACAAAUCAAAAGAUUUUCUACAGUUCAAUGCGAAGAAAGAUAUUUUAAAUAACAAAAGUAUUUUGCUAUAUAAAUAUAUCUCCUUAACUGGAAUAUUGAGAGCGUUGGCCCAAGUGCCGUCCAAUGGCAGCUCAAAGUCCAUCAUCUCACAACCAGAAACAAGAAUCGAUCCCUAAUCUACAAUGCGGUGCAAAUCUCAAAAUUCUAUAGAACUCCACGUUUUUCACACUCUAACUGGUAAUGCCAACUGAAACGAAUGAAUUAAAAUCCAAGUGUUAAAUAAAAACUAAAAACUUGACACUGGAUCGCCAACCUUCAGAGUAUAUGGUAAUAGAUGUUGCUGGAUAAAUAUAUAUUUUUAUCUUUAGUGCUGAGCGCAUUGUUUCACUUCUCAAACGGAAGCAGCAAUUGUUCAACAAAUGGAGGAGGUUGUGAGCCAAUCCCUCCAAAAUGUGUACAUGAUCGACUGACAUUUGAGAACUACGAUUGCGUUGUUAAUACCCACUUUGGAAAGUGAUUUUUUUUCCGAACUGUCGACGUAUACGUAAUAAAAUAAAAAAAAAAUAUAUUAAAAUAUUAUUCAACUUUAAAAUUAAGGUUGUUGGGGAUACAUACAUUGCAUUUAUUUUAUAUAUUCUCAUAGCCAGCAACAAGAGUCGAUCUUUAAUCUAGGAUGCGGUUCAAAGCUCGAAAUUCUAUGGAAUUCCACGAUUGUCACACUCCAACUGGUAAUGUCAACUGAAACGAAUGAAUUAAAUUCCAAGUGUUAAAUAAAAACUAAAAACUUGAUACUGAAUCGCCAAUCUUCAGAGUAAAUGGAAAUAUGAUGUUGCUGGAUAAAUAUAUAUUUUUAUCUUUAGUGCUGAGCGCAUUGUUUUACUUCUCAAACGGAAGCAGGAGUAAAAAAUGAUUAAAUUGUGCAACAAAUGGAGGAGGUUGUGUGCCAAUAUCGGCAGUGCCUAAUCAAUGUGCAGAUACGAACAAACAUCCACAACUGACAUUUGAGUCCCACGAUUGUUCGACCAACGAACUGUGCUGCAUUCACAUAGAUUAAUUCAAGUUGCAACCCAGCAGAUGCCCAACGAUUUUCUCUAGUAAAUACGACUAAAGAUAUCUUAAACAACAAAAUUUACCUUCUUUGAAAAUAUCUCUCCGUAACUCUCUUAUGUUGAGCGCAGUGAUUCCUUUCCCGAACUGUCGACGUAUACGUAAUAAAAUAAAAUAAAAAUAUUAAAAUAUUA